UCCCGCGCGAGAGUUAUUAUCAAGUUAGUCAGACGAAUGUGCAAUAAACCGUAUAUAGGAUAUACCUGCGUUUUUUUCUUUAACUGUUUUCGAGAACAUUCGACGAGAUUUAUUAAAAUUAAACCUAAGAUUUUAACAAGUAUUACAAUUUGAGAAAAGAAAAAUACAUCAUUUGUCAUCUUUAUUUUAAAAUUUCUAACACUUGUAGUUUGAAGUGAAUUUCAGUAAUCGAAAUAUAAAUGAAAAAAAAGAUUCAGUGUUUAAAAAAUUAAAAAAAAAGCAUUAAAUUUGUGCAUUAAAGAAACAAUUGAAGACAAAAUUAUGUCUUUUUUUACUUUUUAUGGCAAUAAAGAAGAAAAAAUUGACUCAAUUUUCAAAACAAAGCUUUGUUCUGUUAUUCAAGAAGCAAUAUCGGAAAACAAACACUUUCAUGCGAAAGAACAAAACGCAAAUUGGUUCGAAUCUUGUUUUUUUUUUUUUAAUUUUUUAAAUAAGACUUACAUAAGAUGACCUUAAUAGCUAGUUGCCACAAUAUAUCAAAUCUAGUACGGUAUUUUUAGCUCUACAAGAUACCUACGUUAUUACAUUCCAUACAAUGAUGUAAUGAUGUAAACUUCGAAAUAUGAUAUAUAUGAUGAAUUAUUUUUUUUAUUAUUUUCUUAUAUCUAUAUAAGAUUUAAAUGAGAAAUAUAAUAGAUAUAUUUAUUUAUUUUUGUAUAAGGAUAAUAUAUAUAAGGAUAUAUAAAAAUUCUAUGUUAAGAAGGAGAGAGAUGAGAUGCUAAAAGAGAACAAAAUGCCAUGUAGGGGAAGUUAUAAUCAGCGAAUAUAUCUAUGAAUAAUGAUAUCGCUUUGGAAAAUCUGCUGUGCUAAACGUGGAAAACAUGUCCUUCGUAAACAUCGCGUUUAAGAAAUUUUUAUAUUCAUGUAGGAAUAUUAUCAGAGGAUGAUCGUCUGAGCGGUUAAUGGAAGAGGCAUUAAAGGUAGAACCAGCUCUGGGCGACCCUGAAUUUCUUUCCGAUUUCGCGGAUAAUAUCGUUCACUCUCUUUUGCAGAGAAACAAUGCACUACAAUUACAAAAUUCUUGAAUUGCGUUAUACAAGCGAAAAGGAUUUUACAUCUCGCGGAAUACUAUUUGCGCCUGUGCAGCAAAAAUAAAACAAGAUGCAAUGAUGUUACCUCUUGAUCAAAUGGAGCAUUUUUCCUGCCUACGUUAGGACCACUCAUCCAUCCUUCUCCGUCAGGUCUCACUCGACCGAUCUCCUCGCCAUCGACCAAAAAGUCACUUCCGGAUCCUCGAAAAUCCAGUUGCCGUUUGUCGCUAAAUAGACAUUACCGGCAAUUUCGCCGUUUUCGUUAGCGCGAAUUGCCU